rnacentral:tRNA from 2 species
GGGGAUAUAGCUCAGUUGGUAGAGCGCCGCUCUUGCAGGCGGAUGUCAGCGGUUCGAGUCCGCUUAUCUCCA